GUGCCUAAUACAUGCAAGUCGAGCGAGAAUCAGUGAUGUAGAGAUUCGUCAAAGCGGAGUCUGAGGAAAGCGGCGGACGGGUGAGUAACGCGUAGGCAACCUGCCCUUAGCAGAGGGAGUAGCCAUUGGAAACGAUGAUUAAAACCUCAUAAUGCUGUUGAGACACAUGUUUCGACAGCCAAAGAUUUAUCGGCUAAGGAUGGGCCUGCGUCUGAUUAACUAGUUGGUGAGGUAACGGCCCACCAAGGUGACGAUCAGUAGCCGACCUGAGAGGGUGAUCGGCCACGUUGGAACUGAGACACGGUCCAAACUUCUACGGAAGGCAGCAGUAAGGAAUCUUGCACAAGUCGGGGGAAACCCUGAUGCAAGCAACGCCGCGUGAACGAUGAAGGCCUUAGGGUUGUAAAGUUCUGAUCUGUGGGAAGAAGAAGUGACGGUACCACAGGAGAAAGCCCCGGCUAAAUACGUGCCAGCAGCAGC
rnacentral:rRNA from 1 species